rnacentral:tRNA from 43 species
GGCGGCAUGGCCAAGUGGUAAGGC